AGCUUAAUUAAUUGGUAAAGCAAUGGACUGCAAACCCUCUAUUUCUCAGUUCAAAUCUGAGUAUCGUCUAUAUAAAU
rnacentral:tRNA from 1 species